CCUUGCAUGCCUCUUCAGUUGGUCGGCCAAGUGCAUGCUAGCCUUGGUUGUUCUGUUGGUUUCCUGUCCUGUAUGCCUACCACGAAGGUAUCGAGUUGGCUAAAAAUGUCCCGUUUCCGCCUUGUGCUGUGCCCCUUGGGGCUGCGGUGCGGGGUGGACUUCAAAGCAUCUGCCGUGUUCCACUGCUCGUACGUCUCGAUAGGUGCUCGAGUUCGUGGCCCACGGUUGUUUGCUCGAUUUCUCGGAUGCGGAAAAUUGAGUGGGCACGAGGCCUUCGGUCCCUAUUUGUCCCGAAACAAAGCGUUCUACGCUUCGUGCGAACGACGACCGUAGCCGUUUUGAUUCAAGUCCUCGCGGC
rnacentral:misc_RNA from 1 species